rnacentral:misc_RNA from 1 species
GUUCAAUUGUCACCUUCCCAUUAAAAAAUUCCCCCAAAAAAUAAAAAAUAAAAAAGGAAAACUGAAGAAGCAACAAGGAAGAUGAUGCUUCUCUUUCACAGGAUAUAUAACUAUAAAGUAAUAAUAAGGAAAUAUGUUUAUGUAAUGUAAAGCAUGUCCUUCCUCAUCACCUACUACUGACAACUCCACAUCCUCUUACCCAUUCAACCCAAUUUUCAAAACCCAGAAUGGAAACCCUACAUGAAUCUCUUCAUUUUAGGGAGUUUUUGACAAUGUAGCUGUUUUUGCUGGCUGCC